UUUUUUCUCCCAAAUCCUUCACGGCUGCCGACGCGACUUUUUCUCCGACUGCACGAUUUCUUCUUCGACUGCACGAUUUCUUCUCCGGCUCCACGCGAUCUUCUUCUUCGAUCCCAAAUCAGGAACAACUCUAAGGCAGGCAUGACUCUGACUUAAGGGGCAAGCAAUCUUCUUCUCUGGUCCCAAAUCACGCACGACUCUAAGACAAGCAACGCUCCGGCUUAAAGCGCACACGAUCUUCUUCUCCAGAGUUCUUUCCACGAUCCACCGAACAAGCUCAAGUUCAGACUGGGGAUAUGAGGUUGCUGGAGGUGACAGCAAGGUCAGGGAUGUCAGCAGAUAAAGUCUCAGCUUACACUUGCUUGGUCGAGGAUAACCCCAUCGCAAAUCUGAGGGCAUUCGAUUCCCUUUUGUCUAUGGUGACAUCGAAGGAAGGGAAAUGCUAUGCAUUUACUAGCUUUGAAGCACUGAAGGAGUUGUUCCUUUUGAGAAAAAAGAUUUGGGAUGAAUUUGAGGUUUUUGAAUGAAUGCAUAAAAGAAAGUAAGGUAUUGGAGAGUUUGUGGAUAACAAAUCAGCUCGAGUUAGUGAACAAUAUAAAGAGAGACAAGAUGUUGAUGAUCAGUCUACUCAGUCUUCAUUAAAUCUAAAGUUAUGAUGUGAUGUGGUGGACGACCCAUGCAACACUUUAGAAGAUCAUACAAUGGAAGUUCCAAUGAAAUGUGCUCCCAUGAGAAGAACAAGGAAUUAUCUCAAGAAAUUGAAGACAUGCAUACUACUAGCAAAAGGAUGGAGGAAGAAAUUACUGAAAGCAAAAAUAAAUUAGAAUUCAUUAUCAAAGAAAAUAGACAGAUGGAAGAACAACUUAUCCAGAAAGGUAGACAAAGAGAAAAAAAAAUCUAAAGGAGAUGGUUCGUAAAAUGAUUCAAGAGGUGGGAUAUACAAAUCAUUUAUAUCCAAGAAGAUCUGGUCCCCGUGAGCGUCGUGAUAAGUGAAAUAAAGAUUAAAUUACUUUAUCUUUGAUUAAUGGUUAAAUGUAUUUAGAUGAUGUGAAUAUUUAUUUAUUUCAAUAUUAAUUCUACGAUACUUUUCCAUUAAAA